rnacentral:rRNA from 1 species
AGUGAACGCUGGCGGUAGGCCUAACACAUGCAAGUCGAACGGCAGCACAGGAGAGCUUGCUCUCUGGGUGGCGAGUGGCGGACGGGUGAGGAAUACAUCGGAAUCUACUUUUUCGUGGGGGAUAACGUAGGGAAACUUACGCUAAUACCGCAUACGACCUACGGGUGAAAGCAGGGGACCUUCGGGCCUUGCGCGAUUGAAUGAGCCGAUGUCGGAUUAGCUAGUUGGCGGGGUAAAGGCCCACCAAGGCGACGAUCCGUAGCUGGUCUGAGAGGAUGAUCAGCCACACUGGAACUGAGACACGGUCCAGACUCCUACGGGAGGCAGCAGUGGGGAAUAUUGGACAAUGGGCGCAAGCCUGAUCCAGCCAUACCGCGUGGGUGAAGAAGGCCUUCGGGUUGUAAAGCCCUUUUGUUGGGAAAGAAAUCCAGCUGGCUAAUACCCGGUUGGGAUGACGGUACCCGGAGAAUAAGCACCGGCUAACUUCGUGCCAGCCGCCGCAGUAA